rnacentral:rRNA from 1 species
AUGACCAUGAUUUCUGAAGAUGGAGAUAUCUCAGCUCUGCUCUCUGAACCAAAUCUAGAUGAAGAGCAGGCUGUGACUCCCGGAUCCGAUGAUUUCUUGCCUGCUAUUUUGGAAUCAAUUAAAUCAAAUGAAAAGGAAGUCGAACUUUCACCUGAGGAGGCAGCUUGGGCUGAUUCGUGUUUUGUGCAGACUUCUGAACUGUCAGAUGAAGACUGGGGUGCAUUGAAGCAAGCCUUGCUUGAUUCCCUUCAAGAGCCAACGGAAGGUUCACGUGAUACCACUGAGGUCAUGCUUGACCAAGGCACCCAUGUACUUUCAGAGGCGGAAUCCCACACUCUGCUUGUCGAAAAAGAUACUCAGGAUGAUAAUGUAGACAUGGAGCAACAAGGCAAUAGCGAUGAUGACAAGGAUGCUGAAGUUGGGGACGUUACAAAUGUAAUUAGAGGUGCAGAUGAGCAUGGCAGGCAAAUGGACGGAUACACUGCAGAUGAGCUGGUCUCAUCUGAAGUCAUCGAGCAGGCAGAGUCGAGGGAUUCUAUCUUCAAGGUUUGGGAUCUAGACGUGUCCUUCUCCGAGGAUGAGAGCGAGCUCGAACUCAUCAAGGACCUCAAGAAACUCCUCAAGGGCAAGCCUCAGGAUGCUACGUAUCCGCCUCCUGGUGACGCAGCCAAGGCUCUGAGCGAGAUAAACGUUGAUGAACUUGUGGCGGGCUUGAGUAACCUGUCGCUGCAGCGAAACCAGUAG